GGGUUGUGAGGUUAAGCGACUAAGCGUACACGGUGGAUGCCCUGGCAGUCAGAGGCGAUGAAGGACGUGCUAAUCUGCGAUAAGCGUCGGUGAGGUGAUAUGAACCGUUAUAACCGGCGAUUUCCGAAUGGGGAAACCCAGUGUGAUUCGUCACACUAUCAUUAACUGAAUCCAUAGGUUAAUGAGGCGAACCGGGGGAACUGAAACAUCUAAGUACCCCGAGGAAAAGAAAUCAACCGAGAUUCCCCCAGUAGCGGCGAGCGAACGGGGAGCAGCCCAGAGCCUGAAUCAGUGUGUGUGUUAGUGGAAGCGUCUGGAAAGGCGCGCGAUACAGGGUGACAGCCCCGUACACAAAAAUGCACAUGCUGUGAGCUCGAUGAGUAGGGCGGGACACGUGGUAUCCUGUCUGAAUAUGGGGGGACCAUCCUCCAAGGCUAAAUACUCCUGACUGACCGAUAGUGAACCAGUACCGUGAGGGAAAGGCGAAAAGAACCCCGGCGAGGGGAGUGAAAAAGAACCUGAAACCGUGUACGUACAAGCAGUGGGAGCCUCUUUAUGGGGUGACUGCGUACCUUUUGUAUAAUGGGUCAGCGACUUAUAUUCUGUAGCAAGGUUAACCGAAUAGGGGAGCCGAAGGGAAACCGAGUCUUAACUGGGCGUUAAGUUGCAGGGUAUAGACCCGAAACC
rnacentral:rRNA from 1 species